UACGUAGGGGGCAAGCGUUAUCCGGAUUUACUGGGUGUAAAGGGAGCGUAGACGGAAUUGCAAGUCUGAUGUGAAAAUCCGGGGCCCAACCCCGGAACUGCAUUGGAAACUGUAUUUCUAGAGUGUCGGAGAGGCAAGUGGAAUUCCUGGUGUAGCGGUGAAAUGCGUAGAUAUCGGGAGGAACACCAGUGGCGAAGGCGGCUUGCUGGACGAUGACUGACGUUGAGGCUCGAAAGCGUGGGGAGCAAACAGG
rnacentral:rRNA from 1 species